UUUUUUCCCUCCUCAUUUUCGCUUUUCAUGAACCUCCUCUGUUCAGCCAAAUGUAGCAUUUCUGUCACCACUGAAACCUGGAAGAAUGUAAAAUGAUGCCAGGGAGCUUGUUGGAUCAUCUUGGAUGAAGCAAAAAUUGGUUAGGUUUUUCUGUCACUGUACACACACACAGAUAGACUUACAGCCCUGAGCUCUAGCAAAGAGCUGUUCCAAAGUUAGUUGUUUCAAAGGACAUGGAGCAGAGCUUGCCUAAUGAGUAAGCAAUAUUCUUUAAAAUUGGUCAAAGCAUUAAAUUCUAAGAGAUUCUAUGCUGUGUGUACCCAGAAGCCAGUUUUUCCAAACCUCCCUCAGUGUAGUCUGAAGCCUUAACAAAAACAAAACCAACCAAACCAAAAGAACCACUUUUAAACUCAUAAUUUAUCUGUGGACACACAACUUUCCUAGAGGACAGCUCUCUCUCUUUCAAGUCUAAGGUCUGACUGUUUGAUUUACUGUGAAUGCCUACUUGGUACAUACUGUAGGAAACGCUUUUUAUCCUUAAGGAACUUACAAUCAAGGUGAGCUUGGUGAGUGUCAGUACUCACAUGUUCAUGUAAAUUUGAGGUUUGGUAAACCACAGAAGGAUAUAAGAAAUGCACAUAUUGAUUCUGUGGCUAUGAUUCAAUUGCCCAAAUGCUGUUUGACCUGCCCUUCUAUUUGUAAUCCUGGAGUCUAGGAGGUCAGAUCAACUUAGCUAACUCUUUCGGCCAGCUUUCAACAAAUUGUGCUACCUACUUCUUGUGUCCUACUCACAUAAAAAAUCUGGAAUGAUUUUUACCAAAUAUGAAAAUCUGUAUUAUUUCCCCCAUAUUGCCUUUUUCUUGGACAUAUUAUUUUCCACUGCAUCCUUUGAAGGUUCAGAAAUAUCUUCCUUCUCUGUGUAUCUUCUUAUUUAUUCUCAAACAUCUUAUUGUUUGUGACAGUAAAACAGGAAAAUUUAGAGGUACUUCAACCAAACGGUCUUCUUUGGAAUUCAACUUUUCUUUGUAGCUUAGUGGUCAGUAUGGGACUGACUAUAAAGGGUCAGGGAACAGUACUAGAACAAUAUAGUCAUGCAUGUUACACAAAGGCUUAAAAUUAUGCCUUGUUGCAUUUGAGAAUGUUGCCUCUUCUCUGAUGAAGGCUUUGAGCUCAUGUUGUGACACAUGCCACAUGAAUCACUGCAAAAUAUAUAUAUAUAUAUAUAUAUAUAUACAUAUAUAUAUAUAUGCCAGAGAGAAGGGAAUUUUCUGGUAUUAAAUAUGUGUACAUUUGUCAAAAAGCAGUAUUUGAAAAUGUCCUUUGCUGGUUUGCUCCCUCUAUUUUGGGCAUUAGGUGGCCCCCUACCUUCCCUUCUCUUAAUCCCAACUCUGGCAGUCAUGACAAAUUACAUUUGGGGAAAAAAUGGAUUUUGGCCAAACCAUUUACAUAAUUCGCAGUUGGUAUGAAGAAUUUGGAAGAAAAGAGAAGGGUUGGGAUGGUUGGAGCCAGGUUGAAUAUUUAGCUGCUCAAAGUAUCAUCAUCUGUUUUUGCUUCUUGGACUCUAUGAUGGUGGAGAUAAUAAUCACAUUACUGAGCAUAUAAUAAUCAAUGAAUUCUUGUGAAAUCAACUGAAUCAAUCCAGCUGGUCCUUGUUAGUGCUAUCUAUUACCUUUGCACCAAAUUAAAACAAUUUUUUGGUGGGGAGGUGGGGUUGUUUUGACUUUGAAUGAGAAAUUAUUGGUCAGUAUUACUAAGAGCACAGCCAUACCUGCUUCUGAUAUAAGGCCAGAGGGAUCCAGAUCUAAGCUUCAAACAUCCAGUGAUGCUCAAUGGCAUCUGAUUUCUACUUUAUUGCUUAUUUGGCUUGAGUAGAAGCCUAAUUAAGCUUGUACAUUUUUUUCCUCUUUAAAAAUAACGGUUUACUAAUAGAGCACUAAUUUUAAAACUUGUGCAAUGUUUUAAAUGACAUUUUUACCCUGGCAUCCUCAUUAUACAAAGGCUAAUGCCUCUUACAUAAUACAAUUCAGGGGCCUUUGAAAAUAACUAUUUCCAGCAAGAAGAUGAAAGCACACAUUAAGUUCUGGGGUUCAUUACACAACAAGGAUAAUGCACAACUCCAGUCUUUAAUUUGAUCUAAAGCUCAGGAAGAUGGAGGGCAUAUCUACAUAGUACCAAAGGAAUUGGUUGGCCAAAUCAGAGUGUGUCAGUGGGGAAUGUUGUGCCUGAAUCAAGUGUUUUGGUAAAGCGCCUAACUGGAUUAAUUUCAAAACUGGUCAGUUUACCCAGAUAAAUCAAAGGCUUGUAGAUGUAAAGCUGAAAAAAGGGACCUUAGAAGUCAUUUAGUUCAAUCUUUCAUUUUACAGAUGAGGAAAUGGAGGCUCAGAGAGAUCAAGUAACUUGUUCGAACAAGAUCCAAUCUAGGUAGCAGCUGUUUGGGAAAAGGGUCCCAAGCUUUACUUUGGUACUGAAGCCAGAAAAGGUUAUGAAGAAGCAACUUCAGAGGACCUCAAGGGACAACACAGCAAUACGUAGUGUGAUGAUAUCACUCCUGCCCAACUCUGUGUAAAAGCAAGUUACAGACACAAGCAAAAAUGUGGCCUGGAGGUGCCUCCGAGAACCGAAGGCUAGGAGUGACUGACUGGCUGAACAAACAAACGAAUGAAUGAAUACAUGACCAGCUCUCACUAUUGACGGAUUGGACGGCUGAUUGACCAGUCCGCGUGCUGAUUGAGUCUUCUGAUAGCUGCCUACUAUGAGGGACUGGAGACUAAGAGAGCCCUUUAAGAGGUUAUAGCUCCUGCCAAGAAGUUAAUAUAGGGUGCUUUCACAGAACCCUUCCUAGUAACAAAGAAAAACAUUUCUGCAAAACUGAUCGACAAGAGAAGCAUUCCUGGCAAGUAUGGGCAACAUUCUGCACCUGUCACCUCCUACCUCUCUACUGAGCAUAUUUCAGCAUCUGUUCGUUGUGACUGAGAUUGCUGACCAUGAAUUCUUAACCAAUAAUUGACUCUUUUUGAGCAAAUACUCAUUUUGAGCAGCUGUGGCCAGCUAUGGGUUGGCAGGGAUGAAUAUUUAAGAGAAGAGGAGUUGGUUAAGACUCCCUGGAAGAAAACGGCCUGAAAGCAGGUUGAUAUCAACUUAGAUUACAGUAUCGGCACAUCACCAAGUUUUAAUUUUGGUAGAACUCAAACACCAGUUUUUGUUGAGACUUCAACAAUUCUUGAAACCACAAAGGGCCCGGCUUCCCUUGGUGUAUGUCUGAAAUAUGUCAGGCAGGUGUUUCAAAAGUACUCAGGCUGCAGGGAAAUAGACCCUGAUGUAAUCUGCCUAAUUUGGCUCUUUGAAUUACUUUCAAGAACACUUGCUGUUUGUAAUGGAAACAGCUCUCGGACCACUUCAGACAGGACUUUGUAAUGUGAGCUGGUAAAACUCUGCAGGUGCAGUGAGCAGCUUUUUCAUUUUUCAUCUCACAUUUGUUUACUUUAAUGUGUUACUGAAAAAGUGACACAGAAGUGGUUUAACAAGUCAUUUUUCAUUUGAAAAAUGUUUUCUUAUUAAGAAAGUUAACAUCUAGUACACUGCAAAAGAACUACCAACUACAGGAAACCACAUGUUGCCCGAGAGAAUAUGUUUCCUGAGACUUCAACUCCCCAAAGACAGUUGUUCAGGAUUCUGCAUACCUGAGGCUCUUUGGCGUAGGCAUCAAUUAGAAAAUGGGAAACAGUGUUUUCCUUGCUAAUUCUUGGCUACCGAAUCGGGGUUACUGAAAGCUUUCUGUUUUUACCAGCAUUAGGCAGCUUGAAAAAUGUAAAAUUAUGAAUUAAACUUUGUUUGACCAGGGAAGAAAAAAUGUUCCCAGGAUGCUAUACCUAUCUUGGGGAAUGAUGUGGAACUGCGUCUUAUCCUGGGUUUGUGUUUUCCCAGCACCCAUCACUAGGGCCCCCAGAAACUAUGGAGGGUAGGGGAAGCAAGAUAUCUGAGCUUUUGGGACAGGUAAGAGGAGGAAAAGAGGAGAAAAAUAAAGUGUCAAAUUCUGAGGGAAAAAAAAAUCCUAGAAGGAUUCCCUCUUCCUCUUGUGGUGAAAAUGGAAGAAUAGUGGGUUGGGUCCAUACCAUUUACUCUGAAUCUUUCACACAUUCAGCAUGUAUCCUUUGAACAUCUUUUGAAAGUGAAGAUAAUUAUAAUAAGAAUUUGGGGACCUCUCCAGCCCACUCAUAUGGGUCAUUUGUGCCCAACCUGUCACAGAAACUUCUGAUCUCAAAUUGGUCUGAUCAGUCAUGAUCAGAUAUACUGUACAUUGACCCUGACAUAUUGAUGUCAUUUUAAUUCUCUUCAAGCAUAGAGGAUGACAACCAAAUAAUAAUAGUAAUAAUAGUGUCUAAACAGUCCUUUAAGCUUUGCAAAGUGCUUCUCACAUAUUAUUUCAUAUAUUAUGAAUAAUGUUCAUGAUCCCUAUGGCAACUCUGGAAGUUUAAGUACUAUUAUUAUUCCCAUUUUAUAGAUGAGAAAAUUGAGAAAAGUGAGAAAAAUCAAACAGUUGGUCCAGGGUCAUACAGCUAGUUAGGAGAGACAGGAUUGGAAUUGAAGACUUCCUAAUUCCAAGUCCAGCAUGCUAUUUACUGUACUACUUAGUUGCCAGUUAGGAUGCUACUAAUUUUCUAUCCAUAGGACAUUUGAAUGAUUUCUUUAUAAAAACCUACAGCUAGAAAGGGAUCAUAGAUCAUGGAGUGACCUUGGUUUCAUUUAUAAAAUGAGAUAAUUGAAAUUAGAUGGUCUUGAAGGUCCUUUCAACCUCUGACACUCCAUGAUCUAUGAUCUAUCAUGAAUUAAGAAUUGAUGAACUAAUGGAAAGAUCCUUGGACUGUUAGAAAAUAGAAUCCUGUUUGAGUGGAAGCUCCAUUAGGUCUGCCUUGCUUUUAAUAACAGGAAUGGGGGAAGAGGAGUGCUGCCCCAGGUUAUAGAUGAAAACCCUCUCUUCUCUUCCUCUCCUCCUUUGCCUUAGGCACAGGAUACCCAUCAUUAGUGAUGACAGUCACAGCAACAGAUAUUUAGGUGCCUGGGUGGGGAAAAUGUCAGUUUUGGCUCCAUCCAUCCCUACCCUCAAUUGUUCUUGUGACAGUGAGAUUUGGGCCAAAUUAAAUUUAGUGCAUUUCACAAUUUUGUUUAGCAAAUUAGUGGAUAAAGGGGACAAACCAAACACAGAUUUUAAUUUGACACCAUCCCAAAUAAGGCCUACGUGCUUAAUGUGAACCUUCCUGGCUUGCAAAAAGAAUACUUCUUUUGGUAUUUCCAUUGUCCAGCCAGGCAGGAAAGGUCAUCUCACUUUAUCAAGGUCGGUCCUCAUGGAGCCUUCCAAAUCAGACUUGUGGAGUUUAGAUUACAGAGCAGAAAGUCAGCCUUCAACAAGGUAUACCAGUAACACAGUUUCAACAUUUAGUUCACCCAAAUGGAAUGCUUAGGAAGACAUAAGCCAUAGAACAUGGAGCUUCAGGGAUCCUUAGGGAUCUUGUUUCAUUUAACAGAUGAAGAAACAGGUACAGAGGAGAGCGCCAAUGGCACAGUUGACUUUCCAACACAGGUAGCCAUGCUAUUGAUACUUUAAAAGCUUUGUAUUUAGACUCUAUGAUUUUUGUUGGUUCAUGAUGGUUUUACCAGCUCAGUCCCCAUCAAACAACUAGUAAUGGAGCAGCAAAAGCAAUAAGAAACUCAGUGACAAGAGUCCUAUUUUAAACUUGCUGCUCGGUAAGGGUUAGGGUUAGGGUUAGGUUUUUAUAGUCCAGCCCUCCAACGGUCUGAGGGACAGUGAACUGACCCCCUGUGUAGAAAGUUUGGGGACCCCUGCUUUACAGAAUGAUUUGCUUCUAUCAUAGCAGUCAGUCCCUGAUUAGUACAAAUAAAGAAUCCCCUAAUGUAGUCUUAUUAUUUGAAUUUGACUGUGCAUUUCCACUGGGUUGGAACACAAACACAAAAAGUUUAAAAAAACUCUUACCUUCCAUCUUGGAAUCAAUACCAUGUAUUAGUUCCAAGGCAGAAGAGUGGUAAGGGCUAGGCAAUGGGGGUUAAGUGACUUGCCCAAGGUCACCCAGCUAGGAAGUAUCUGAAGCCAGAUUUGAACCUAGAACUGCCUGUCUCUAGGCCUGACUCUCAAUCCACUGAACCACCCAGCUUCCCCCUCCUAACCUAUUUUUUACAUAAUUAAAGCUUCAAAUAGGGAGAACAUGAACACUUGACCACUUCAGUGGAUUCUUAAUUUUUACUAAUCGGAACCAAGCUAUAUUUCAUCUGAUGUUCACAAUAAUAAUACCUGCAAGGUAAGUGUUAUUAUUAUCUCCAUUUUACAGAUGAGGAAAUUGAGGUGCUGAGAAAUUAAGUCAUUUGUCCAGGUCAUACAAUUAGAAAGUGGGUGAGGUAGGGUUGAAAUUCAAGUCUUUCUGACUCUGAAUUCUCCAUUCUAAGUGUUCUCUUUCCUAUUAAAAUGAUCACUUGCUUAUUAUCUGAUUUCUUUUAAAAACUAACCAUCUCCAAAUCCAUUAACUAAGAAGUCCAGGAUGUUAAAAGCCAUCUUACUUCUUGGCCAUUUAUACAAAAAUGAACAAUUCAGUUCAAUACAACAAUCAAUUGUUAGAUUUGGAGCUGAAGGGUUAGAGAAAACUGUCAUCCUGUUUUCAAGGAGUUUAUAAUCUAGUAUGGAAGACCUACAAAUAAGUCAUUUUCUUAUUACUUACUACUUGGUAUUCAGGGUUAUUAGGAAGUAAGUAUAGUGUCAAAAUAGAAUGAAUCAAUAUAAAAUAGAUUUUACAAAUUAAAAAAAUUAUUUUGGGGAACUUUCUUAAAACGAAGUGAGCCAUAGAUAGAGUCUAUCAUUUAGAAAAACUUUCACAUACCUUUUUCAUUAACUCUGUAUGCAAAGGUGGUAUUCACAGAAACUUCCUGAUCUGCUGUCCUGAUCUGCAAUGGAGUUGUGCCCAAACCUUGAUGUUUUUGGAGUACUCCUGGCUUUGGUCUCAAGUAACCUGAGGGCUCUGUUUGGUCUCUUAGUUCUCAUCAUUUCAGUGGUGUUGAUGAUUAUGAACAGAACUGAAAGAGAGCCUCUCCUAAGACUUGAAAAGGAAAAAGAACCUCUGCUUUUGUAUUUUGCUUCUUCCAAGUGUGUCAUGACUCUGUGAACACUUCCUUAGUCUUCUAGUGGAGGGAGAGAGGGGGUUCUCCUCACCCUUUUUCUCAUCCCUCCCAAUAGCUACAUUAUACAAGCUACAUUAGCAUGAUGGACUUGUCUAGGUGAUCCUAACACUGUCUCUAGUCUAUAGCUACUGCUUCUGCUUCGUAAUUUUUUUCUCUGAGUACCAGUGACUAAAUAAUAAUCAUAACUUUGAUGUUUCUAGUUUUGAAGGCUACUUUGUGAGCUCGAGAAGUUCCAGAGUUCUGGAGCAGUCCAGAGACUAGUUUCCCAGCAUUUACAUCUGAUCCUCACAACAACCCUGGGAGAUGGAUACUAUUAUCACCCCCAUUUUACAAAUGAGGAAACAGGUAUAAAUAUAGUAAAUGAUUCUCUCAGGGUUAAACAAUUGGUAAGAGUCUAAGGCUGGAUUUGAACCCAUGUUUUCCUGACUCUAGAUCCAGGACUCUAUUCACUGCUUUUCAUAUUCCUUCCACCACCUAGUAUUUACCCAAACCUAGGCUUUUCCCUUCAGUAGCUUUUGGUAUCAUCUCCAAGGCUAGGUACUCCUUCUCUUCCACUUAUAGACCCACAGGGCCAGGAAGAGGAGCUGCCACUGCCCCUUUUGGGGGCCUAGAACCCCACUGCUAUUUUCAGACCUUUCUCCUGCCACCAUUGCUCAGCAACCCUUUAAAAUUCACUCCAUUCUGCCCAAAUCCUAGCUACUGUUAUUGAUGAAUCUCCAGACUCUCUGUUUUCCUCAAAAUUUUAUUCUCUGGCUCACCAUUUUUUUACUCCUACUCCCCUUUGAAUACUAUGGUGCCCCUGUCCCUACCCAGAAUGAGUGAAUCGCUCAGGGAGACAUACUCUUUGAUAGGCUAAGAUUAGAUGCAAGUCAACCAGCCCUGAAGAUAGGUCUUUUUGAACUGAGCUCUUGUCCUUAGCUUUGAUGCGAAUCUUGGCAGCAAAAUGCUUUCUCUUCAGCUAAUUAUUUGUGGUGGUGGUGGGGUGUGUAGCUAGAUGAUUCUUGGGGCUGGUUGGGAAUCUAUGUCACUCACAAUAAGUCACCAUCAGUACUUAAGGUGGGUUGGAAACCCCAGCAUUUUGUGAGAGUUUUGGAGAUGGGAAAGGGUAUCGGAAAGGGCUUUGGGAAAAGGAAUUGCCUUUUGUUCUUAUUGUCCAAAAUAUCCUUAGGAGGAAUGGCAUCUUCAGCAUUCCUCCAGUAAAGACUUUAUUAUCUGCUGUGUGUCAGGUACUUGUGCUAGGUGUUAAGGAAGCAAAAAAUAAAGUUUUCUGCCUUCACAAGAAGCUAAUAGUAACUUUCUCCAUGCCCACAAUUUUAUUAAUUUGGCCCCCCAGUUCCUCAAGCUUCUCAAACCCCAUGACCUCUGUCUUCAGUCUACUUCGUCCAUAUAAAGAAGUGGUCAUAUCUUAGGCCCCUCCACUCCCCAUCCUUUAAAAAAGAUCUAAAAUACCAAGCUGACCCAGGUGCCAAAUUUCUUUCUCCAAGGUACUUAGGCAUUGUCCUUGCUUUUUAUACUCUUAAAUUGCUAAGCACAGGCGCUUGUGUAAAGUCAGCCUUUGGCCCUAGUUUCACAGAUUCUGACAAAGUGGGAUCUCAUUGAAUGUAUAAGAUGAAGAGAGAGAAAACAAACUAACCCCCAAAACAAGACCUGAAAACAAACCCAGGAUGGAGUUCAGGUUAGCAAAAGAGAGACUAGAGGAACAACAACAACAGAAAUCCUCAAAUUUGUUGGUUAAAAAGAAGAGAAUAGAGAAAAAAACAUCUAUUAACAUUAAAGACAGAGCAUGAAAUUAAUGACAUGUCUUAAUUGACUGCGACGCUGAAUUUAUUUUUUAAAUGCCUGAAACAAAGAAAAGAAGUUUUUGACAAUUAGGAAGCCAUGAGAUCCUCACAAUCCAGAUGACUGUUCUUUUCUCACCAGAGGGUUUAAUAAGACAGAGGGCAAGCCCUAUCCCCCCCCCCUCCAGGGCUUUUGUGUGACAGAAACUGAAAUCAGGCCCCUUCUCUUUUUUCCCUCUCAUCUCUGAGAGCGUGUUUUCACUGGAAAAGUCUUCAUUAAUGGUUUUAAAAAAAGCUGUUCCAGAUGCUGUAAUGUUUGAGAUGGUCUUAUAAAAAUAACAUUAAUGAUUUCCGCCACUGAAGGGAAAUCUUCUCUGUAAACUAGUGCCAUUGUCUCUCUAAAGCUUCACUCGAAGAUAUCAUUUCUCCAGGAUGGAUUCCUAGGAUCAUAACUCACAGUUCAAUAGCACUAUAGGGUUUACAAAGUGAUUUACUAAAAAAUAGCCUUAUAAGUAAUAAUAGUCAGAAUUUAAGAUUUACAAUGUGCUUUACAAAUAUAAUCUCCUUUGAUUCUCACAAUAAUCCUGGAAUGUAGGGGCUAUUAUUAUCCUCAUUUUUAUAGAUGAGGAAACUGAGACAGAGAGAAGUGACUUAGUCCUUCACAUAAUUUGAGACUGGAUUUGAACUAAGAACUUCUAAACCAGGUCCAGUGCUCUAUCUAUUGUACCAAUCAGAAUAGAAAUCUGUCCAUCCAUUCAUCUAACAUCCAUCUAUCCAUCCAUACAUCCAUCCACAAGAACUUAAGAGCCUACUACGUAACAGAAACUGAGGAUACAAAUAAGAACUAAUUAACAAAUCAUACUUUUAAGGAAUUUACAUUCUAAAGUUAAUAUGAUUUCCAUUUUAAUGAUGGGGGAAUCAGGUCUCAAAGGGGUUAGCUGAUAAAUUCAAGGUUAUAUGGUCUAUCGCUGUGUGACUGAGUUUAAUCACUUUCUCUCUCUGGCCUCAUUGUAAAAUUAAGGAGUUGAAUCAAAUAGUGCCUUUCAGGUUGAAAUCCUUUAUUUCAAGUAGUUGAUUUUUUUAUUUGAAAGUUCCAUCUAUUUGAAAGGGAUGGUCACACAAGGAGGAGGGUCCAGGAGGCAGGUCACUCAGCAUCCAAAUACUUAUUCUAGCAGCACCAAGAAGUUCAUAUCAGACUGAAUAAGGAUUAAGAUAUCCAAUAUCUUAAUAUUGGGGGGGAUAGCAAGGUGACUGAGUGGAUUGAGGACCAGGUCUGGGUUCAAUUUUGGCCUUAGAAACUUCCUAGCUAUGUGACCUUCUGGGCAAAUCAUUUAACCUGUUUCCUAGCCUUUACCACUCUUUUGCCUUGGGACCAAUACAUAAUAUUGAUUCUAAUAAAGAAAG